rnacentral:lncRNA from 10 species
GGAGUUUUCAAGAAAAUACUUAUAAGACGGGCGUCAUUGAAGAAAAUGUCAAGUCGAAAAAUGCUGGGCUUUCCUCUUCUCAUUCAGCCUCCCAUCUUCUCGUUUCAGCUUAGUGGACGGAUGUUUUCUUGGCAACAUUUCUGUUCCAACAACUAAAUAACCAACAACUAACUAACCAAACAACCAGCAUGCUUAGCCUGUGCUAGGAGAUGUGGGGACAGCAGAAAAGAUGCCCAGGCCCUGGCCCUCCAGGUCAGUGCUGGAAAGAGAAGUAACCACCUGAAGCUAAAGUACCUGGGGUCAAAGAGAGGUCUUGGAAAGACGUAGAAGGAAAUACUGAAGAUGCUGCUUCUGGUGGGAAAUUAUAACAAUAAAGGCCAGGAGGAGGAAAUGAAGAGCUCUAUUUGUAUUUACCUCCGAAAAUCAACUUACCGAAGAUUCACUAUCACGAAUGAGGAAAUCCCCUUCAUGUCCUCUUUCAUUUAAUGCCAUUUCUGCUUGAUGCCUGGUGACUUUGCCAUAAUACCAAGGAUUGCCAGCAAACUUUCCAGUGAGUGAAGGCCUAAUGUAAUCACACUGUGGAGGUGAUGGUUCCAAACCUGAAGUUAAUGGAUUAUUCUGCAUAACGGUAACAUAGUUUUUUGGUACUAGACCAACCAUACCAUUGAUCUUCCUGCAUUUCCACCACUCUGGGUCAUUUUCAGGUUUUUCAAUAACAUCCAUUACAUCUCCUUUCUCGAAAUUAAGUUCUUCAUCAUUAGAUGAGCUGAAUGGGUAAAGAGCCUGUACCACAUGCAACACUUGCCCAGUAUUUAGGUUAUUGACGACUGCUGCUAAUUUCUCUGACAGAGAACCCACAUGGUCACCCAAAGGACUGUCACCUUCUUCAGUUACAUAGUUUGAAGGGAACCAUCCAACUUGUCCAUUGUAGCUACCACGCCACCACCCAUCACUGCAUUUCUCCAUGACGAUCACCUUUGUCCCCUUUAUCAAUGAUAAUUCAUCCUCUCUCUCAGCCAUGUAGUUAAAUUUCACAUAAGCGGGCAUGUUGAGGUCAUAGAGACGUUCCCCUGGGUCAACAAAACUAUCAUCAGCAGGAGAUGCAGAAUCUGGCACACUAGGUUUUCUUUUCACUUUUCCAAUGCC